rnacentral:misc_RNA from 1 species
GUUCUUGGCAGCCGCAGCACGCACACUCGUACUCGCAAAAGGAAUUGUUCCUUCCAUAAACUCGAGGGGAAAAGAAGGAGUUUUGCCAAGCAGACAACACAAGAAGGGAACGUAGCUUUCACUUUUUGCUUACUGCAAUGGUAAAGGCAAGGACCAACGCCUCGACCUUCCCUCUCUGCCAACAAUAAUCGGCCCAAGUGAGAGCGACACGAAUCGAUCAGCAUCUUCGAGGACUCAAUCUAUCGAUAUUGAGCUGAAAACAUCAGCAGUCAUGAGGGCAACAGUUUUCGUUCUGAUUGCGACUCUGGUGGCAACGGUGUGCUUUGCUGCCGAGGCCGAGGUGACUAGCGACACGACUGUGACUAUUGCUAUGUCCAGCACCACAGCGACUGGGAUUAUCGUCGGCAUUGCGCUUAUUAGCGUGCUGACCUUUGCCGUGGGCAUGAUGCAGGGCAUUCAGAUUUCUGAUACUAUUACAGACUCUUCCACGGAGACCAGCUAAAAAGACACGGUAGUCUUGUUGCCUUCUUUGUGUGCAGGCGCCACCCGACACACUUUGUUUUCGCCGUUUAUCGUUGGGGUGCGUGGUAUUUGACGGGCUGAGGAGAAAGUUGUAUUCGGUUUGUAAAAAAAAAAAAGAAACGACGCGAUGGCCCUCCUUUGUGGGAGACAACUGCUGCGCAAGGCUCUCUGAAUAGCCUUUGAUGCCAGUAUUCAAAAGAGAGUAUCUUAUCUUCUUGUGAUAUCCGUGAACCGAAGUGCCACACGAUUAUGGGUUGCUCCGUGCGUUCGGAGCGCUGCCAUGGUGUUUGCGCGACUUGCUGUUCUUGUUUGAAAAAUUUUUAGUUUUCUCUCCCGUUUUCUACGCUCUACCUUCUCUACUACCCUUCUCUUCGUGUCGCCAG